rnacentral:lncRNA from 1 species
AAACUGGUCAGUUAUUCUCCCGCAGUGAGGCCAGAAAGAGCCAUGGGUGGAUUUUCUAAUGGGGUGGUUUUCGAGUGUGCACAGAGGAAUGCAGUGGCUUGCGAGGCAUGAACACAGGUUCCCAUGGAACUGGGUGAGGGUUUCUCUGUAGGCCUGAUUGGUCUGUCAUGGAACUCACUCUGUAGAACAGGCUGGCCUUGAACUCUGAGAUCCACCUCUGUCUCCUGAGUGCUGGAAUUAAAGUCUCUGUUGUCAUUUGUAAAGUGACAUCUACUACAGUCUGGAAAAUUUAUCCCAUACUCAUCUGUUCUACCAGUCAUAAAAAAAGAGAAUGCAGGGGUCAUAGGUGUGUGCUACAUUGCCCAGCAUAUAUGGUUCCGAGGAUUAAAUCCAGUACUUCUUGAAUAUUAGUUACAGGUUCCACAGUGACUGUAAACUGGACAUCAGGAUUGUUGAGAAUGUUCUCUGGACUGUGCAUCUGAGCUACAGACGGCCUUGACUUUAAGCCCUGUUUCUACUAAGUGGCAGAGCCAUCAUUAGAUAUGGAAAGCUGACCACAAUAAUGACCAGAAGGAAUUGGUAAAACUGUGAACUGAAAAUCCCAGGGGGGGAAAACCCCAAACAAACCUAUGUUAGUGAUUCUCCGAGGAUGAUCAGCUGAUUCGAACAUCUGUGAAUGUGGAGAAUGAGAAUGGUAUGCUUCUGGAGCCACAUUAUCUUGGGCUGUCUUUAGACCCCUCUGUAGUUAUUCAUUGCCUAUCCUUGUGAUCCACCGAACACCCUUGGGACUCAAAUCCUUUUGGAAUGAACUAACAGGCCAGUUCCAACAUACCAAAAGCUGGAAAUUGUAUCUCUAAUUCCUCUUCAGGUGAGAGUUGUGUUUCUGCACCGAGGAUACUCAAGAAUGGUGGAAAAGUAAAGUCCCAACAAGAAAAGCCCCAUCCUGAUGGAGAGGAAAAUGCACAGCUCUCUUUCUGUUCUGCUUGUUGUUACCAAGUUCUGAGUCUGGAGGCUCCUGUCUAGUUUAUGUCACCUAAGGUGGUGUGAAGGUGUACUCUACAUGCCUUAUUCAUGGACCCAUCUCCAAAAAGGCAUUUGAACGAUUGGGAACCUGACUUUUUCUUAGGGUGAAAUUUUUGGGUGGGAGCCAGACAAGUUUUGCUUGUUGUGUGCACAUGUAUGGAAGGCCAUCAUGUAAACAAACUUAGCUAAAGUUGUGAGACCUCACAGUGUCUCCACAUCAUGGGACUGGAUGGGUCAGGGUGAUGACUGUGGGAUGGGCCCUUUCUCCUGGAGCCUGAGAAGGUCAGGGUUUUUGCUUGGCAACUCCUAGAGAUGAAUUCAGCUUAUUAUAUAACUUGUUUUCCAAACUUUCUUGUGUAGUGGGAAGAUUGCAGCUGUUCAAGGUCCCUCUGGCAUCUGUGGGCUUGAUACCCACUGUGGCAGGGCCGGCUCAUCAGGUUGGCCAACCUUGUAGAUCCUGUUGUCACAAAAUAUUUUCUUCUCUCUCCACUUUUGUUGUUUACUUAGCAAAAGGGACUCCACCCUCCCAGCAAGUUUUGACACUCUCUGAUACACUGGAUGGCUACUAUAGCUUGGCUUUCAAUUACAAUAAAUCCUAUCAUAAUCAUUUUCUUGCAACAAAUCCUCUUUAACACUUGAAAAGCUCAGCUCCCACGGAUGUAAUGUUAUGCUGUCAAAACAACCCCCACCCCCACUUCUGUAGACUUCUGCUGCAAGUGUAGUAGCCGUGGCAGGCAAUUGAAAAUAAGAACAUUAUCAGAACCCUACCCACUUUUGUAUUCAAUUCUGGUAGCAAAGAAAAAAGUAUCAUUCCAAGCUAUUCAAAUAUGGUUUGACCUAUAAACCAAUGGCCUUAAUUCUGUGAUUUUAAAUCGUAAUAUCAUGUUAAAGUACUUUCUGUGGGAAGUUAUUUUGUUAAGAGGUGAAGACCAGAAUUGCUAAAUAUUAAAUAUUGCCAUUAGAAGAACUCAUGGAGGGGCUGGAGAGAUGGCUCAGUGGUUAAGAGCACUGACUGUUCUUCCAGAGGACCCAGGUUCAAUUCCCAGCACCCACAUGGCAGCUCACAACUGUCUGUAACUCAAGUUCCAGGGGACCUGACUCCCUCACAGAGACAUGCGGGCCAAACACCAGUCACAUAAAAAUUAAAGAAAAAAAUUAAAUACAGAACACCACCAGAGGAAAAGAGCUUGCUUUAUGUACAGUUUUGCUUGAUUGCAAACCCUGGCUUUGGAAGUUCCAGUCUCACUGACUGUCUUAAGCAUGGUUCAAACUUUGAGGGGGCAGAA